AGGCCAGAGGAGGUCAAUGUCCUCUAUAGCUCUUGGCCUUAUUUCUUAUUUCCUUGACAGUCUGUCUCUCCCUGAGGCUAAAGCUCACCUUUUUUAUUUCCAGCUACUCCCAGCUAUCCUCCUGUCUCUGACACUCCCAGCAGGCACACAUGGCCACUCCCACUUCUUUGUGUGUGUGUUUGAGAUCCAGACUCAUGUCUUCAUGCUUUUACAGCAAGCACUCUUACCCACUACUGAUCCAUCUCUCCAUCCCCAACUCAUUUUAAUUAAAAAAAAAAGUUUGUUUUGUUUGAGACAGGGUUUCUUUACAUAGCCCUGGGUUACCUGGAACUCACUAGGUGGACCAAGCUGCCUUGGAACUCACAGAGAUCCUCCUGUUUCUGCCUCCUGAGUGCUUCACUCAAUUUUUUUCCUUUGUUGGGCACGGUGGAACGUGCCUGUAAUCCUCCCACUCUGGAAGCUGGAGGAAGAGGAGUGUGGAAGAAUUUGAGUCAGGCGUAUAUACUGAGCUACAUAGUGAGUCUGAGGCCUGUCUGGACGACGUAGCAAAACCCUGUGUCAAAACACAAAAAUAGGGCUGGGUAAGAGCACUUAUGUGAGAACCUGAGUUCAAAUCCUCAGGACCCAUGCCACCUAGUUAUUUCCUGUUGCUGCGAUAAACACCGUGACCAAAAGCAACUUUGGAGGAAAGAGUUUCUUUGACUUGUGUGUCCCCUUCACAGUCCAUCACUGAGGGAAGCAGAGACAGGAACUCGAGGCAGGAACCUGGAGGCAGGAACUGAUGCAGAGGUCACGGAGGAGGGCUGCUUACUGGCUUGCUCAGCCUGCCUUCUUACAGAACUCAGGUCUACCUGCCCAGGGGUGGUGUGCCCACAGUGGGCUGGGCCCUCCCACAUCAAUCAGGAAUCAAGGAAAUGCUCCACAGACAUGCCUGCAGGACAAGCUGAAGGAAGAACUUCUUCAAUUUCUGUUCCCUCUCCCCAGGUGACCCUGGUUUGUGUCAAGUUGAUUAAACGAACCAGCGCUCCAUCUUGUACAACAAGAUGGAGAUGGGAGGAGAAUCCUUGGCGUUCAAGGGCAGCUAGCCAGUGUGCACAACAGGCGAGCAAGGUGGAAAGUGAGGUCACCCUCUAACCUCCAUGUGUACCCACACUCACACCCAAGACUGCACACAAACACACAGACAUACAUUAGACACACACAAAUAAAUAAAAGGCACAAAAAGUAAUCUUUUUUUUUUUCUUUCCUGCAGGAGGAGUGUGGAAUGAGAGUCAAUGUUUAACAGGCCCAGAGUUUUCAUUUGGUUCUGGAGACGACGGUGCUGAUGAGUGCAAGGCAUUUGGGAUAUGCCGAAUGCCACCGAUUCACACAAUUAAAAAGGUUAAAAUGAUUAACUUGAGAGUCAGCUUGUCCCAUUCUAUUAAAAGUCCCUUUGAUAUUUUUACUGCAAUUACAUCAAGUUUAUAGAUUGCUCUGGGGAGAGCUGACAUUUUUAUGGCCCUGAACCUUCCCCUAGGUGGAGCGUCUCCCAUUGACUGGGAUCUCUCUUUAUGUCCUUCAGUAAAGUUGUGUAAUUUUCUUCAGCAUGUUCUUAGCUAUGUGACAGUUUUAGUUGCCUCUGUGAUUGGAAUAUUGGGUCCAGCACAGGGCUCUUGCUGCAGUGACUCCAUCCCGGCCUGGGGAUGGACGGCUGACUGUGCCAGCACCUGAGACAGGAAGCACGCACUGCCGGAGUCGUUUCACCCACCCGGGGCCUGCAGGAAGGCAGCAAGUGGGUCUGUGUAAGGCUUCAUGACUGAAGGGACAGGAGGGUUGGGCUCAGCUGAAGGAGCUGGCAAGGUCCAGAGGAGGGGCCCUUCUGGAAGGCCCUUCUAGGUCAGAGGAGCCUGAAUGUGUCAUCAAAGGGGUCAUGACGAGGACGGGACUGAGGUGCCAGAGAUGGGAGCUGUUGCUUGCCCCAAUGAGGACGUGGACAAGAUGCCUCUCAAGCCGUGGAGCCAUCGUGGCCUCGGAGCCAGGAGAUCCUGUCAUACACUAAGUUCCUUGGUUUCUCAGAAGGGUGAAUUCUAAGGAUGGGUUUCACUGUCUCCUCCGGGCUGUCACUACACGUGACAGGGACUGUGUGAGUUGGGUUCAUUCCUGUGCAGUGUUCCUGCUGGUCCCCAGGGGACAGAGAAGACUCUGAGUCCACAGCUUGGCAAACGACAGGGCUGGUCCUGUGCCCCUACUCACUCUUGGGCCAGGUCCCUACCCAGUACCCAGUGUGUGCACCCCAUGCCGAGCACAGGGUGGUGUGUGGGCAGCGCAAGAAAGAUGGCUAAGAUGUGGGGCUUUGGAGACACAAACGAAGUCUUUUUUUUUUUUUUUUCCCCUGAAGUGUCCUAACUUAUGCUCCAAAGGAAACCCUUGCUUCCUUUUGUAGAACACCAUGGAAUCUUCACUUUCAUUUGUCUAUUGUCAAUCUUUUUUCUUUUUAUAAGGGGUCUCCUGUAGCCCAGGCUGGUCUCUAACUCAUUGUUAGGUCUCAAACCUGGGACAAAUGUCUGAAGUGCCUGUUUAACAUAUCAAAGCAGACAGUGUCUGGCCAGGUUCUCCUUGAGUGCCUCAAUCCCUACCUGUUACAGGGUCCUCCUGGUCUGCAGACCCCGGCCCCUACCCUAAACUUCUGCAGCCCAGGGGUUGGGCCGCCCUUCCCCCAGCUGCCCUGCUCUAUAUAAUCCAGCCAUGUUGGUUACCCCUCUCCAUUCCCCUCCCUCUCUCCCCAGCUCAGUCUGGUCAUGUCCACUCUGGACUCUCCCAGAAAUCUCUGCCUCUGGCUAUGCUCUCUCCUUUAUCUACAAUAAACUUUUCCCUCCACCUUA